UCAAGAGAAAUGUUUUCAAUUAUUUAUUUAUUAAAUUUUGAAAACCCGGCUAAGUGAAUCAUAGAAUAUUAAGCACUACACCAUGACUUAAGAUUAGAAUUCAAGGAGACCUAUUGAGAAUAGAAUUCUUGUAGGCUUUGAGCAUCAGGAGGAUUAGCACUGCUAUUCCGAUUCAGAGAUAAGGUUAAACGACAGGCUUUGCCUAGACAGGUUGGCUGGCCGGUGCUGACGGGACGGAGCUGAGGCUAGCGAUAAAUUCCUAUGAUAGACUUCCGCUGUAGCAAUUACUCAUAUCAGUCUUUUGUUUUCCCAACUUAAGAUCUUCAUGUUAAAUUUCAAAUGAUAUACCUGACCGAGCUUAGACUCUUCACUACUUAAUUUAUGCCAAUGAAUGUCGGUUGUUAGAAGCAUGAAACAAAACUUGUGAUCCAAAGGGGCAUAGCCCGACUUUCUAUCCUAUUUCGGGUUUU